CGAAUCAGGGAUCCGGGAGGCAUGUGUACUCGUGACAUUAGGCUUAUCUACUUUAUCUAUGAGGCAAAGGAUUGGAUUCGCUCUUAUAUCAAAAUCGUAACUCAAAUGUCUCAAAUGUGUACAUGAAACUGAUUUUUAAACCCUGAAUUAUUUCAGUGCACUCUUUAAAAAAUAUUGGCAACAGGAUUGUAUUCGCUAAGAACUCCUUGCCUGCCGAGAAGCUGGUGGGCGUCCAUUCACCGCCGCAGUUCUUUAUGAAGAGGAACGCCUUUUCUCUGUGCACGUCGCGUUCCACCGCCCCGCAGAUGACAGGGCCGGCUCGAGGGAGAUACUUCAAGAUCUAUAGAUUUAAAAAAGUGACUGAUAAAUCAAAUAUGCUGGUUAUGUACUAAAACAGAGUGAGAAGGUGUGUAAUGAAUAGAAGCUAAAUUAUAAUAAUAAAUUGAUUGUUCGUAA